CCUACGGGCGGCAGCAGUGAGGAAUAUUGGUCAAUGGCCGGAAGGCUGAACCAGCCAAGCCGCGUGAAGGACGAAGGUGCCAAGCAUUGUAAACUUCUUUUGUCAGGGGACAAAAUCAGGCUCGAGAGCCUGACCGAGGGUACUUGAAGAAAAAGCAUCGGCUAACUCCGUGCCAGCAGCCGCGGUAAUACGGAGGAGGCGAGCGUUAUCCGGAUUUAUUGGGUUUAAAGGGUGCGUAGGCGGGCUGUUAAGUCAGCGGUAAAAGCCCGGGGCUCAACCCCGGCGAGCCGUUGAAACUGGCGGUCUUGAGAUGUCGAGAGGUAUGCGGAAUGCGCAGUGUAGCGGUGAAAUGCUUAGAUAGUGCGCAGAACUCCGAUUGCGAAGGCAGCAUACCGGCGGCGAUCUGACGCUGAGGCACGAAAGCGUGGGUAUCGAACAGGAUUAGAUACCCCUGUAGUC
rnacentral:rRNA from 1 species